rnacentral:rRNA from 1 species
CCUACGGGUGGCUGCAGUGGGGGAUAUUGCACAAUGGGGGGAACCCUGAUGCAGCGACGCCGCGGGGGUGAAGAAGCGCCUCGGCGCGUAAAGCCCUGUCAGCAGGGAAGAAAAUGACGGUACCUGAAGAAGAAGCCCCGGCUAACUACGUGCCAGCAGCCGCGGUAAUACGUAGGGAGCGAGCGUUGUCCGGAUUUACUGGGUGUAAAGGGUGCGUAGGCGGCUUGGCAAGUCAGUAGUGAAAUCCAUGGGCUUAACCCAUGAACUGCUAUUGAAACUGUCGAGCUUGAGUGAAGUAGAGGUAGGCGGAAUUCCCGGUGUAGCGGUGAAAUGCGUAGAGAUCGGGAGGAACACCAGUGGCGAAGGCGGCCUACUGGGCUUUAACUGACGCUGAGGCACGAAAGCGUGGGUAGCAAACAGGAUUAGAUACCCUAGUAGUC